AACGAACGCUGGCGGCAUGCCUAACACAUGCAAGUCGAACGAGACCUUCGGGUCUAGUGGGGCACGGGUGCGUAACGCGUGGGAACCUGCCUUUAGGUUCGGAAUAACUCAGAGAAAUUUGAGCUAAUACCGGAUGAUGUCUUCGGACCAAAGAUUUAUCGCCUUUAGAUGGGCCCGCGUUGGAUUAGCUAGUUGGUGGGGUAAAGGCCUACCAAGGCGACGAUCCAUAGCUGGUCUGAGAGGAUGAUCAGCCACACUGGGACUGAGACACGGCCCAGACUCCUACGGGAGGCAGCAGUGGGGAAUAUUGGACAAUGGGCGAAAGCCUGAUCCAGCAAUGCCGCGUGAGUGAUGAAGGCCUUAGGGUUGUAAAGCUCUUUUACCCGAGAUGAUAAUGACAGUAUCGGGAGAAUAAGCUCCGGCUAACUCCGUG
rnacentral:rRNA from 1 species